AUACGUAGGGGGCGAGCGUUGUCCGGAAUGAUUGGGCGUAAAGGGCGCGUAGGCGGCCCGGUAAGUCUGGAGUGAAAGUCCUGUUUUUAAGAUGGGAAUUGCUUUGGAUACUGUCGGGCUUGAGUGCAGGAGAGGUAAGUGGAAUUCCCAGUGUAGCGGUGAAAUGCGUAGAGAUUGGGAGGAACACCAGUGGCGAAGGCGGCUUACUGGACUGUAACAGACGCUGAGGCGCGAAAGUGUGGGGAGCAAACAGGAUUAGAUACCCUGGUAGUCCACACUGUAAACGAUGAAUGCUAGGUGUAGGGG
rnacentral:rRNA from 1 species